GACAGUAGCUAUUGACAUCUUGGUAUGAUUGAUGGGACUUCCUCUCACUGAAUCCCCCUCUUCUGCCCACAGGUUUUGAUGGUUACUGGAGAUGCUGAGUCCUCCUGUGGGGGACCCUUGGGGGCUAUAAACAGUCCAUUGCAUUCAAAUCUCUGUCCUGCAUUCCUGCUCUACAAGCAACUGUCAUUUGCUUAUUUGAGAUCACCUGUGAGUUGAAUGAUGGACAGACCUUCUCUGAAUUUCUAGUUAUCCACCCCCAUCUGUCACAGUGCCUGCUUCUGUGUCAGACACAUGCCUGAUGUGUCUGUGUGCUAGAACAAACACCGAGGACUAUAUAGCAUCAGGGAAAGCUCAGGCGGGAGGCAAGCAUGGCAAGAGCAGUCUGCAGUGUCAUAGGUGCAGUGCCCUCUGAGGAGGGAAGAAGGCGCUAGGAAAUGGAGACUCAAGGAAGAGCCCUUCAGAUCAACUGUCAGGAAGUGCUUUUGCCUUGGAGUUAGAUAACAUGUGCCCAGGAUGACCUUGAUAUAAUGACCUGGACUCCAGCUCGAGCACCUGGUUGGGUCCAGCCAGACAGCUAUCUGUGGUCCUUCAGGGAUGUCACGGCAAACUGGCUCUGUCCAGCAGUGUCUCCCAGUAGGCACUGUGAUUGCUCUGCUGGUUCCACAGGCUGGAAAACCUGCACACAUUUCUGUAAAGGACCUGGCUUUGGAGGCUCUGCUCAUACUGCCUCUCUGCCUGCCACCCUCCACCGUGUCUGGAUCAGCUGCCACUGUUACAGGAACUCCCACGGGGUGGAAAUCAUCUCUGAGCUUGCUCACUGCAGCUUCCCGGACACCCAGCACAGCAUCCACCAGUGAAGGAGAGAGUGAAGUCAUGUGAACAGACUGACUGCCUGAGAGCCAGCCUCUUCACACUCCAGAACUUUCUCACACCUAGGAAAAGGGUAGUAAAACUGUCCACCCCCUGCCUUCCCUGACCAGUGUUACAACUUGUCUUCUGAGAGUGUAGUGCUGGCAUCAUCCCCGGUGACUCAUGGAGACUUCUCGACACAUUCUGCCCACCUUACCCCAACCCUCGGCUGUCGAUGCUACCACAUCCUGCUUUUUCAUGUGGCUUCUGGGGAUCAAUCUUGGGUCUUUAUGCUUGUACAGCAAGCGCUUGACUGACUAAGUCAUCUCUUCAGCCCUCAUUAUUAUAUUUUCCUUUAAAUCCAAAGGUAGAGGAUUAGGGGACAGUAAGGCAAAUGUGACUUAGUGUCCCCCAUUCCCCCAUUCUUGUUUGCACACUGGAGCAAUAAUUCAGGGCUUAAUUUCCUUUCCCCGGUUCACUGACUGUGAGAUGUAGUGCUUAUCACCUCAUCAGACCUCAUGGCCUAGCUGAGUGCAGGCACGGUGACCCAAGGGUCUGCGGCAUCCAGAUCCUCUCCCACAUUGGCUCCAAGUGUAGCUGCUGGUAUGGGUGGAUUCAGGGGUGCAGGGUAGCUAGGCAGGGUCAAAGCUAGAGUAGGCAGGCAAGAAGAAUUCACGAAAUGACUGCUCAUCUCACUGGGGCCACAGUACAGCUGUCUGCAGGGAAGCGUGUGAACAAGGCUGCCACGUGUGUGCUCUGACAGUCACGCUGGUGCAUCAAAGCUCUUCAAGAUGAGGAGCAGAGUUGAGGAUGAAAAGAGAAGAUGGGCAUGCCAGAGUUGAUAGUCCACACUCACUGCGCUGUCAGGUUCCAUGGAAAAGACCCUGCUAACAGUAAAUUUCAACUUCACCCUCGCAGGUCAUAAAGAAUGUUCACAGAGAUAGGAAGACAGUACAUGUAUUGUGUUCAGGGUGUUACCUUAAUUUAUAACUUCUGCCUAGGGGCUGGAGAGAUGGCUCAGAGGUUAAGAGCACUGACUGCUCUUCCAGAGGUCCUGAGUUCAAUUCCCAGCAACCACAUGGUGGCUCACAACCAUCCGUUAUGAGAUCUGGUGCCCUCUUCUAGUGUGCAGAUAUACAUGGAAGCAGAAUGUUGCAUACAUAAUAAAUAAAAUCUUUAAAAAAAUAACUUCUGCCA
rnacentral:lncRNA from 1 species